ensembl:lncRNA
CUCCUUUACUGUCCCCUAUCCUUUCGGUAUUUGAUUUGAAGAUAUUUUUACAGAUGAAUUUUUGUAUAAAACCAUACAUUGGUUCUUCAAUCUUUUAGGUUUUCAACUUUCAUCAGGUGAUAAUAAGAUUAAGCAGCAGUUGUCAUCCCAAAAGAUCUUCUGAUUAGAAGCCUUUUGAGUCCAGAAAAUAACCAUUUUGGAUACGUGACUGUCGAGCACAGCCCUGCUCAUUUAUGCAACAAGUGGACAAUAUUUUGAUAACUUACCAUGCUGCACAGAUUUCUGAGACAUCAGACGCCUGCAAAACUCAUAAGAACAGAAAAUGUAAAGAGAUUUUCUGAAUUACUGAGUCCCAUCCUACGGUGCUAAAAGCAACUCUACAGAAUCCCUUUGAUAAAUGUCUCAAGCUCCAGCAGGCUCUUCCCUUGAAGUCCACGUGGCUUGCAUUUGCCC